AUUGAACGCUGGCGGCAUGCUUUACACAUGCAAGUCGAACGGUAACAGGCCGCAAGGUGCUGACGAGUGGCGAACGGGUGAGUAAUGCAUCGGAACGUGCCCAGUCGUGGGGGAUAACUACUCGAAAGAGUAGCUAAUACCGCAUACGAUCUAUGGAUGAAAGCGGGGGACCGUAAGGCCUCGCGCGAUUGGAGCGGCCGAUGUCAGAUUAGGUAGUUGGUGGGGUAAAGGCUCACCAAGCCAACGAUCUGUAGCUGGUCUGAGAGGACGACCAGCCACACUGGGACUGAGACACGGCCCAGACUCCUACGGGAGGCAGCAGUGGGGAAUUUUGGACAAUGGGCGCAAGCCUGAUCCAGCAAUGCCGCGUGCAGGAAGAAGGCCUUCGGGUUGUAAACUGCUUUUGUACGGAACGAAACGGCUCUGGUUAAUACCCGGGGCUAAUGACGGUACCGUAGGAAUAAGCACCGGCUAACUACGUG
rnacentral:rRNA from 1 species